CCUCUGUGUCAUUUACUACAACCCAUUGAUCCCAUUCAUCAGUCUACUUCUUCCCAAUUCCCUUCUCUAUUUUACAAAUAACAUCACAGGUAUUAGAAGAGCUCCAUGUUACUCCAUAUCACUUUAUAUUGCUUGAGCUUAGGUUGAGCAUCUGCCGUAAUGCAAUUUAAUAAUAUCAGUCUAUGAGUUUAUGAUAUAUUAGGUACAACAGCAUUAAUAAUUC